GACGAACGCUGGCGGCGUGCUUAACACAUGCAAGUCGAACGGAAAGGCCCUGCUUUUGUGGGGUGCUCGAGUGGCGAACGGGUGAGUAACCCGUGAGUAACCUGCCCUUGACUUUGGGAUAACUUCAGGAAACUGGGGCUAAUACCGGAUAGGAGCUCCUGCUGCAUGGUGGGGUUUGGAAAGUUUCGGCGGUUGGGGAUGGACUCGCGGCUUAUCAGCUUGUUGGUGGGGUAGUGGCUUACCAAGGCUUUGACGGGUAGCCGGCCUGAGAGGGUGACCGGCCACAUUGGGACUGAGAUACGGCCCAGACUCCUACGGGAGGCAGCAGUGGGGAAUAUUGCACAAUGGGCGGAAGCCUGAUGCAGAAACGCCGCGUGCGGGAUGACGGCCUUCGGGUUGUAAACCGCUUUCGCCUGUGACGAAGCGUGAGUGACGGUAAUGGGUAAAGAAGCACCGGCUAACUACGUG
rnacentral:rRNA from 1 species